GGAUGAACGCUAGCGGCAGGCCUAACCCAUGCAAGUCGAGGGAGAAGCCCUUUCGGGGGCAGAAACCGGCGCCCGGGUGCGUAACGCGUAUGCAACCUACCUUUCACAGGGGGAUAGCCCGAAGAAAUUUGGAUUAAUACCCCAUAAUAUUAUUGGAUGGCAUCAUUUGAUAAUUAAAACUGCGGUGGUGAAAGAUGGGCAUGCGUCCUAUUAGCUAGUUGGAGUGGUAACGGCACCCCAAGGCUACGAUAGGUAGGGGUCCUGAGAGGGAGAUCCCCCACACUGGUACUGAGACAGGGACCAGACUCCUACGGGAGGCAGCAGUGAGGAAUAUUGGUCAAUGGUCGGAAGACUGAACCAGCCAUGCCGCGUGCAGGAAGAAUGCCUUAUGGGUUGUAAACUGCUUUUAUAUGGGAAGAAUAAGGUGUACGUGUACAUUGAUGACGGUACCAUAUGAAUAAGCAUCGGCUAACUCCGUG
rnacentral:rRNA from 1 species